GAUGAACGCUAGCUACAGGCUUAACACAUGCAAGUCGAGGGGAAACGAUAGGGAAAGCUUGCUUUUUCUAGGCGUCGACCGGCGCACGGGUGAGUAACGCGUAUCCAACCUGCCCAUCACUUGGGGAUAACCUUGCGAAAGUAAGACUAAUACCCAAUGACGUCUCUAGAAGACAUCUGAAAGAGAUUAAAGAUUUAUCGGUGAUGGAUGGGGAUGCGUCUGAUUAGCUUGUUGGCGGGUAACGGCCCACCAAGGCGACGAUCAGUAGGGGGUUCUGAGAGGAAGGUCCCCCACAUUGGAACUGAGACACGGUCCAAACUCCUACGGGAGGCAGCAGUGAGGAAUAUUGGUCAAUGGGCGAGAGCCUGAACCAGCCAAGUAGCGUGAAGGAUGACUGCCCUAUGGGUUGUAAACUUCUUUUAUAAAGGAUAAAGUCGGGUAUGGAUACCCGUUUGCAUG
rnacentral:rRNA from 1 species